rnacentral:snRNA from 1 species
AUGGCUUUUUGGCAAGACGG